rnacentral:tRNA from 1 species
UCUCUGAUGGCUCAGACAGUAAAGCGUCUACCUACAAUGUAGAAGACCUGGGUUCGAUCCCUGGCUGGGGAA